rnacentral:rRNA from 1 species
UGGGGAAUAUUGCACAAUGGGGAAACCCUGAUGCAGCGACGCCGCGUGAAGGAAGAAGUAUUUCGGUAUGUAAACUUCUAUCAGCAGGGAAGAAAAUGACGGUACCUGACUAAGAAGCCCCGGCUAACUACGUGCC